rnacentral:rRNA from 1 species
UACGUAGGGUGCAAGCGUUGUCCGGAAUUAUUGGGCGUAAAGAGCUCGUAGGCGGUCUGUCGCGUCGGCUGUGAAAACCCGGAGCUCAACUCCGGGCCUGCAGUCGAUACGGGCAAACUGGAGUGUUGCAGGGGGAGACUGGAAUUCCUGGUGUAGCGGUGAAAUGCGCAGAUAUCAGGAGGAACACCGGUGGCGAAGGCGGGUCUCUGGGCCGAUACUGACGCUGAGGAGCGAAAGCGUGGGGAGCGAACAGG